CCUACGGGUGGCAGCAGUGGGGAAUUUUGCGCAAUGGGGGAAACCCUGACGCAGCAACGCCGCGUGCGGGACGAAGGCCCUCGGGUCGUAAACCGCUUUCAGCAGGGAAGACCUUACGCCGGUACCUGCCGCAGAAGCUCCGGCUAACUACGUGCCAGCAGCCGCGGUAAUACGUAGGGGGCGAGCGUUCGCCGGAUUCAUUGGGCGUUAAGCGCGCGUAGGCGGCCGCCUAAGCGGAACCUCUAACCCCGGGGCGCAACCUCGGGCCGGGUGCAGGACUGGGCGGCUCGAGUGCGGUAGAGGAGAGCGGAAUGCCCGGUGUAGCGGUGGAAUGCGCAGAUAUCGGGAAGAACACCGAGGGCGAAGGAAGCGCUCUGGGCCGUCACUGACGCUGAGGCGCGAAAGCUGGGGGAGCGAACAGGAUUAGAUACCCCUGUAGUC
rnacentral:rRNA from 1 species